CAGCCGUAAACUAUGCGCGUUAGGUGUACUGGUGACCACGAGUCACCGGGGUGCCGAAGGGAAACCGUGAAACGUGCCGCCUGGGAAGUACGGUCGCAAGGCUGAAACUUAAAGGAAUUGGCAGGGGAGCACCACAACGGGUGGAGCCUGCGGUUUAAUUGGACUCAACGCCGGAAAUCUCACCGGAUAGGACAGACAUAUGAUAGUCGGGCUGAAGACUCUACUUGAUGAUCUGAGAGGUGGUGCAUGGCGUCAGUGACU
rnacentral:rRNA from 1 species